GAGCUCACGGUGCAAAUGGAAAAGCACCAGACUCGUGAAGAAACAGCUGGGACAUAAUGUGCCAGCCCUGCCUCGAAUCCCGGGAAAAACCUGGGAGCCGUGGGGAGUCAGAAGCAGGGCAAAAAACACUGCGGCAGCUGCUCUGUAUCUGUGGCAAUAGAUGUGUUGGUUGGCUCCUGCACAAGACACCAGACGUGUAACAUCUGUGAGAUCAGGAGAGCAUCUGGAUCCUGUAACUACCAACAGAGAAGAACAUGACAGUGAUGAACCAACUCAUAUGCAACAAAACCAGUGACUUAAAGAAAGUAUAUGAAAUUAUAAGAAACAUCUAAAGUCUAAUUCAUUAUUUAAUUCAAAAAGGGAAUAACAUUUAAACGUAUACAUUAACCAUUCUUUGAGCUGGAGAAGAUAUCCAGAUGUGUCAAAGGACGCAUAAAGGACACAAAAAUUCUCAGUAUGUCCUUUUGCUGCAAAACGUUGGACGAGAGGGAUAUCAAAACGAUUAGUUCUGAUUUUGGAUCUAUGCUUGACUAAUCCUGAGCGCACUGCCAUGCCUGACAUCCCAAUAUGAUUUGGGUUUAUUUGCAAACACAUUCCAGCAAGUGUAUGCAAUCUUUUGUGUUGCAGGUUGUACAUCCUUUUAGUUUCCAUUUAAAAGAUAAGUUGGGAUGACUGUAUUCUUGAAUGUUCAUUGAAAGGAAAUAAAUCAAACAGUUCCUGCAG